UAAUGAGUAAAAUUAUGUCAGAAUGACAAUACACAAGCUGUUGCAGAAUAUGGACUGCAGAAGUAUUAGUAUUAGUGCCCAGAGACACCAAAGCCUUUUAAUCAAUCUAUGAAUUUUAAAUUGCAGACACGCUCAAUUUACAAUUCCAGAAACUUUUAUAGUCUAUUUUUAUACACUUACUUACAUCAGCUGUGUUUGUGGAUUCAUACUUAAUUUUGUGAUGUUUGUAUGGGUUUGUGUUUGGUGGCGACUAGUCUGGAGAAUAGAUAAAGGCAAAAACACAGUCAUGGGAUAAGUCACAGGCCACGACACUUACACAAAUAAACACAUUCAUUAAGGGGCCUCUGAACCUGGAUUCCUAUCAUGUUUGCUCUACAACCAGCAGCUGUGAGCGAUAACAAGCUAUCGGCAAGAACUUUCUGCAACAAUAGAACUGAUUGGCAUGAUUAUGUCAAGCCAUGUAAAACCUUUGUUCGAUUAUCCCGAGCACUUCCUCUGAAACAUAUUGGAUUAUAUCUACCUCAGACACAGAGAGGCACUGUUGCACAUGAAGGCCACCCCCACACUCACCAUCUGGAUCAUUUAGAGGGCGGAGUGCCCGCUUUCCCUCCGUCCCUCUUGCGCUCUCUCCCUUCCUCCCUUCCCUUCCUGCCGGCCUCUGAGCAGAGGAUGUGUCUGGGAGUGUGAGAGGAAGGCUGGCGGUGAAGUGGGUAUGUACCCUCUCUCUUCUUCCCCCUUGUUACGCUCUCUGUAUCUGCUGAUUGCUCUAUCUAGCUGCACUGAGCAGGCCCUCUGGGCAGGGCAGUCUCUUAGAAGUGGAACGGUGGAACAACAAGCCUAAAUGUCAGACGGAGACAAGAAUGGCCGAGACAAUCAUGAAGAGGCCCUUGUCCCAGUCGAGGUGUGGCAAGAGCUGGAAAGGGCUGAAUGUUUGGCACGGGGUGCUGCGCUGAAAUGGGCUUCAGGUGUCUUUUGUCGUCCAGAGCAUCUGGAGAAACUUGGGCAGUACAAGAAAAGAGAGAGUCAGCGAACUGCAUCAAUUCAGUCAAGGUUAAAGUCAGUUGUACAGUCCUACCUGGAGGGUGUUGACUGGGGUCUUGGUCAAUUGCGAGAGGCACGAGCUGAGCUAAGAGGUGUGUCACAUGACUUGUACAAGGCAAACUUGGAGUCCAGGAAAAAUUCUGAAGAAGUAACUACACUGGAAACACUUCGGGAGAUUUCUGUCAGUCACUGUCAGCUUCUUGCUGCAGUAAGCAACCUGCCUCGACUCUACAAAGUACGGAGUAUGGUGCUAGAGACAGAAAGGCUAGUGGAGUCUCGGAGACUAUUGGAAGCUCAUGCUCGGCUAAUGGAACUAGAGCGCUGGCAGGAUGAGGUACUGCUACAGCUCCAGGGACCCAGGGGAUCAUCCGGAACAGAGUUGAACUCUGAGGAUGAGGAGUUGGUGCGGAAUUAUUUUUCAGGAGUUGGACGGUUGGUAGAUGCCCUUGCCAAGGAGCUCUGGGCAGUGGUGGGUAGCGGGUUGUCACUUGCUCAUCAGAACCCAACACCUUUUGUCUCAGCUGUACGAAUAGUGGAACGUGAAGAAGCACUAGAUCAGUUCUUUCUAGAGGAGCGAAGGUCAACUUCCGGACACAACAUACCCAUGCCAGCAGGAAGACCACGUAAUUGGAGAGACCGAUUCUUUAAGGUGAUGGAAGAGGCAGUGUCAGCACGCUUCCGUAGUGUGUCCUACUUGCACACUCGAGGACCAGGACUUGCAAGUCAUUUGUCUGCACUGCAGCACUGCAUUAUGGGAGAUCUCUCAACAGUGCGGCAUUGUUUGGAACAAUGUGUUCCAGCUCACUACCAUUUAACUAGAGCUUACUUGCACUUCUGCCACCAGUUUCUGCAAACCCAUCUUGGACUGGUUAGUGGAUGGGAGUUAGAGGGUGGGGAAAUCUUUGCUGUUCUUAACUGGGUUUUGCACAUAUACAACAGCUCAGAGAUGAUGGGUGAGCCAGCCCUUUUAGCUGAACUAGAAAUUGAGAACCUGGGUCCUCUCAUAUCUCAGGAAGGUCUUGAGCAGCUGCAAAACAAAUAUGUCCAAAAAGUUCGGAAGAGCGUCUCGGAGUGGAUGCAAAAGGCUCUAGAAGUGGAGCUAACAGACUGGCAGAGGGAUCAGGAACCAGAUAUUGACCAUGAGGGCUACUACCACACUAGCCUUCCAACUAUCAUCACUCAGAUGCUAGAAGAGAAUGCACGAGUGGCCUUGAUGAUAAGUGAAGCUCUGCGGGACCAGACAAUCCAAAUGGGUCUUUAUGAGAUGGAGAAGCUCCUCAGUCGAUUUCGAGACGCAGUCAUAGAAUUUGGUAAGGAGCAUCGCAAGGAUCCAACUGUUAACAAGUUCUACCUCCAUUACCUCCUGGCCUGCAUCAACAACUGCAUCAUUCUCAAGUGAGAUGGUGUACAAGUAUCUUUUUACAAACCUCUACAGAAAGUCUGCAGCAGCAGAUUUGCUCCUUCGUUUCAAACCGGUAUUCACGUAUCCCACUUGGACCUCUGGCUGCCCUGGACCGUGCUGUAAGAAAGGCAUGUCGUUUAGUUAUGGAUCAUCUCUUGUUUGAGUUGCAACCACAUCUACAAGAGCUCCUCUCUAGUACCUGGCUGGACCAGGGAGAUGUGACCCUAAAUAUGUGUGGGGUUCUAGAACGUCACUGUGAACUUUACAACAGAGUGCGACAACCUUGUCGCCAGAGGUUAAAGGAGGAAUGCCAGUGGCUAACUGUUGUUGAGUAUGUCCGAGCAGUGAUGCAGAAGAGAUUGGUCUGCAGAAGUAGCGAUGAGCAAAAGCAGCUGGCCCAGCGAAUGACACAGGAUGCCCAACAGCUCAGGGACCACCUUCAGAGCAUG